rnacentral:lncRNA from 1 species
UUUUUUUUUUUUUCUUUUAAAUGAGCCAUGAGCAUUUGUUCUUUCUGUAUGGAAAACCAAAGAACAUUGAGAUGUUUUUAACAAAGCUGUAAUUUCCUGCCCACUGGUAAGGACUAAUGGUGAGAGCUUACCUUCUGCUGCUGCAUAAAUAAAGUAUAUUUAGAAGUGGUUGAACUGUUGGAUUGUGUGAAGAUUUGGGAUGCAGGCUCUUCAACUUGAAACCUUCUUUAAAAGUGACAGAGAAAAAUAAAAGUGUGAACUUACUCAUUAAAAGGAAAUAGAUGCUGAGGGAAGAAUCUUCCAUCCUCUCUGCAAUGUAGACCAAAAGGUAAAAACUAAUAUGUGUUUGUUGUGUCAGCAUAUUUUCACACUGCUGGAUGUUGCAUGUUUACAGCUGGUUCUGAUGCAGCUGUCAGGGUACAAUUGAUGAGCAUCAUCAUUUAAAGUGUAAAAGAAAAUAUCUUGGCAUAGAGGGACAUGAUAAAGUGCCAUCUACCAGGCAUUGUGGACAUAUGUAGUCACCAUUGCCUUUUUCUCCUCACUCUUUGCAUUUCUUUGCUGCCCUUGCCAGAAUGUGCAGAAGCCAUUGGGAGCAGUUCAGCCCAGCCUCCAGCCUUCUAAUAUCACUUUGGUAGUUGUCAGAUCAUAUGAAAUGUCAAAAUUCAUGUGGCCUUCGUGAAGAGAUAUAUUUAGUACAGCUGCUGCAUACCUACGUAGUAUCUCUGACAUUGACAUAUUAGUUAUGCUGUCUUUUGCAAUCUGAUAUCUUUAAAUUUGCCACCUUGUUAAGUUUUGAUUAAUGUGAUUCCAUUUCACUAAAGUAAUUGGCUUGGCCUGUUGUAGAAAAUAAUCAGCCUUUCUACGGAACAAAUGCUAGAACAUGCUAAUGAGGGAGUGAGUUCGUUAAAUUGAUGGCGUGGAGUGACAGUUAUUAAUGAUUGUUAUGAUAAACAGACGAGUGCGAAUUGGGAUGAGUUGGGCAAAAGUGACAGUUUAAAAAUAACGUAUAUUGGAAAGUACUAACGAAGUAAUAUACUGUUAGGAAAACAAUCAUGCAAGUUGUCAAGGGAAGAAGUGUAAUUAUACAGCUGCACGAGCUGCCUGGGAGGACAGGGACCUGGCUGAUAAUGGACACGUUUUUUGUUGGCAAGGGGAAAAUAUGUUAUGGCAGAGAGGAGUACAGAUUGAUAAAUUAAUUGGCCUUUCUCAUUGUUUCAAGAGCAAACUUGGCCAGCAAUAGCCAAGCAGAAUAGGUAAAUAAAUGAAGUGACCAGCUCUUCCUCUGCAUCUGACCCAUUCCCUGCCCUUUCUUUUUAAUCCACCUAUGCAUGAACUGCCAAGUCCAACUGCCUGUGUAGCAGUGUUUGUAUAAAUGUAGCUCUCCUGAAAAUAUUUAUUGCCUUUAAAAAUGAGAGAUGCUUUGUCUUAGAAAGAUUUUUGUCUUAAGAUGAAGGUUAAUUUUAAUGCCAUCAGCCUUAUGCAAUGUGAUAUGAAAGUACACUCAUUUUUAAAGUGAAAUUUAGACAGAGCUGUCCAUCUGAAAGCUUGCAAGGAAAAAUAAAAUUGCUCAUAGGAGUGUUUGGGAGAUGGAGGGAUGGUUGCUUAUUGUUGCUUAAGCUUGGUGCUAAAUGGCUUCAGGUUGUUGUCUGUAGGAGAAAAACAUUUGUAUCUCUGAGACUGACAGCAGUGCCAUAGGUAAUUCAGCUGUUAGAUUGCCCAUGUAGUAGACUCAGUGGAGAAGCAGAGGGUAAAUGUGGAAUACUUUCUUAAUAAGUAUAAGGAGAUACAAAGUGAGUAGGCCAUUAGAUAUUAAAAAAAAAAAAGUGAAACAGCUGUUGGAAAAAUUCAGUGUGGACAGUGAUACUGAACUGCUGUGGUUAAUAGGAGCACUAGGUACCACAUUCUGGAUCACUGCCGUCUCUGUUCCAGUGCAGAGGACAUUUGGGCAGGCAUGGAACUGAGUGGUCAGUGCUAUUGCCCUUCUUUUACUUGCUUGUUUGCACUCUCUUGCAUUUAAGCGUCUACUUUCCUCCACAGAAACAUGGGCAAAUUACCAUAUUUUUCAUAAAGAUGGAGGAAGUGAUUUUGAAAAAGUUGGCUAAGAGAAAGCACUGUUAUCACUGUCAAAUUCCAUCUGCUCAGGACACACCAAUGAAUAGAAGAUGGAGAAGAGUUUAGAUUCUGUAUGACAGCCUACAGCCACAUCAGCACUGAAUGGAGCCUGUAAAAUGCUUGCUUAGCCAUUUUGCUAGAUGUUUUACUGGAUUCAGCUUGGUCUUGGUCUUGCAAGGGCUCCAAUAAUCAUGUUACCAAUUCCUCGUGACAACCCUCAAGAACACAAUCUGUUCAUGAAUCUUGCCGUGUUUCCUUUGCUGCAUAAGCACUAGUUUGUGUAGUCUUAGACUCAUGAACACUGAUUCACUGGAUACAAUAAUCUAACCAAAAUGAGCAAAGAUAAUUUUCUAUUUAUUAAUUAAGUCUAAGCCUUUUUCCUAAUAGUGUUAUAGGUGAAAUCCCUCCAGUCCUUGAUUUUCAUGGUUAGCAAAAGGAAGAAAUAUAUAAAUAAAUGUUGGUUUCCACAGAACUUAUCAUUUUCCUAAUAGUGUCAUAGAUUCAAUGUGUCAGGUAUAGCUUAAGAAACUGCUAAUUAGUAGCUUAAUGCAAGUUACUGUGUGUAGAUUUUAUCAUACUGAACUUCAUUGUUCCAUUCAGAACAUGUAAACUGGUGACUAAAAAGCCUUUUUUAAAAACAAAAAUGUAGCAGUUACCAGAUUACUUUGUACAAGUGAAAACUGACACUAAAUUCGGAGCUAUACUGCACUUCUCUGGUUGAAGAGGUCCUGUUUUACCACCAUAUUUCUUCUUGAAAGGCUUAAUGUAUUCAGCUGCUACCUAAACCUCAACUAGAUUAUAAAAAGCAGCCUUAACAAUUUCUUAAUUUCAGCAUGCACAAUUUUGGUUCUGCCUCUCAACAAAGUAUAUUCAUACUUGGCUUCCAUGGCCAAACUGUUCAUUUAGGUCCUUAGCCUCCAUUGCUCCUGCUCUCUGACUUUUAGCACGUGUCUGCAUUGCCCAUUUAGUCUGGAUUAGGCUUGUGUUUUGGAGGCACCACUUUUACUCUUCCACUGCACUUUGGAUCUGCAGUGUCUGAAUUAUUUUCAAACACAGUUGAACUGGAGAAUGUUCCUCAGAGGUGCAUCUGCUCCAUCUGCUGCUGAGCAUCCAGUCUUUGGAAACAGGUUACAUCAAAUAGCCAUUGAAAUCCUCUAAAAAGCAUCUAAUGUUGGAUACUGGGUCCUUAGCAUUCAGUGUUUUGCUCUGGAGGUCUGCUCAAUUUGGACUUCACUGUUUGCUUAGAUGGAUAUACUCCUCAUAAUACUUUAAAAUGAAUCUUCAUAUGACAUUACUGUUCAUUUAUCUUUUUACUUAAUGCUAUUUUUUUUUCUUCAUUUCUGUCUUGCUGCACUGAUCGUAUCUGUCUGGUUCAUGGUAUCACUGCUAUUUUACUUCAGGACUGGGGCCUGGCCUUUGUACUGUUUUUGAUUGUGCUUCUGUUUUUGUUUUUCAAUCACUUUUGAGAAAUCACUGAGGUAGUCUUUUCAUAAAUCUGACUUGACUUGGCUUUCUUGGAGACAGCAUUAGCAGCAGCUAUUUCCCUAAGCAGAGAUGUUGAAAGAAAAUAAUCUACAGCUGAUCUAAUAGUUGUGAAGUGAGAGGUAUUUAUUUUGACUUUAUUCUGAACUAUAUCAGUGUAGAAGAGCCUAAUUUCUUUUUGCCGUGGCAUAAGAAGGAUUUAGAUAGUGAAUAGGAGGUUGUUUUGAGCUGUAGAGGGGAACAUUAGGUGGCAUAUAGUUCACAAGGUGAAUCCAGCCUGUGUCCAAACAUGUAUAAAUAAUUUACAGUAUUACCAGGAGUCACACAUCGUGGAAGAACAGCGUGUUGCUGCUAUGCACAGAUUUCUGCUUCUGAGAAUAGCUUUGCUUUGUGAAUAUAGACACCUAUUGUACUAACUAUUUUAGGAUAAUUAUGGUGUACUUCUCUGAGGCUUUUCCUUUUUCCUUAUGGGGAAAUAAAGCAUGUAUUUUUAGAUUGUUACCUAUGGAGACAGAGUGCUGGUGUGUGUGUUGCAUAAUCUCCCCAAAUAACUGUGGGUGAGUAAAUUCCUGAGUGGGGGAAUAGAUGAAGUUGGUGGAUGUGACCAGCUUUAGGUCCUGCCAGUCCUGUGGCUGUGAGGGGGCUGCAGCAUGAUAACCCCAUGCCACACUGAAGACAUAAUUGGCUCAAAGAACAGGCAGUGUGAAGUCUGGUAGUGUCAGAGAGACCAAGGCUGAGCUGCAAAGAAAAACCUGCUGUUCUGUGAACACCAGGCAGGCAGGGUAUGACUCCACAGGAAAACAGAAGUGAUUAGUUCAGGUAUUUGUAGUCACAAGAUUGAAGUGAACCUGUCAUAUGAGGACGUAUGACUUCAAGGGGGACUGCUUCAAAGAAACAAAACAUUUUGUGUUCCUCAGCUGUACAGAGAGAUGGCCAUACUCCAGUUAUCCUGUAUUCAGUAUUAUAUUUCUGCAUAGCAGAAAUAUUAUAUUUAAGCAUAGCAGACAAUAGCCAUUAUAUGACAAACCUUCAUUAGGCUGGAGGAGAGGCUGCAAUUUGAGAGCUGGGAUGGCUCUUGAAGAUUACGAGCCUAAAUUCUACCACAGUAACCACAUCAGACACAGUCUUGACCUGUCCUCUUUGCCUCAAGACAAUCACAGGUGUUUCUACUAAGCAUUUUAAAAUGAAGGUGCUAGCUGGAAUUUGAUCACUUCUCACUGCUCCUCUGAUCCACUUUUACACUGUGCUAAGCCAGAAGAUUUGCUGUAUUUACCAGCUUAGUGCUAUAAUGAAUUAUCAAAAUAAUGAAAAUGGCCUACCAUUAACUUAAUUUUAAAUGGUGAUAAUACAGUGGAAAAAACAGAAGCCAGUCAUUCCUCAAAAAGUGACCAUAGUGACUAUACAGCGCAGGAGAAAAGCAAAGGUGGAUGUGAGAGAGAUGUGUUAUCUUUCUGAGCUCAUUGUCUUUUGGCUCUCAGUUCAUAGCACAGUCUUGGGAGAGAGCAAAUUUCUGAAACAGGUUGUCAUUAAUCCCUGCUUUUCAGUAGCAAAUAAGGAUCCCUCACCCCAUCCCUCGGCCACAGCUGAAAUCACUUGAAAAGGGUAAAAGAUUUUACUGUCCCAGGUGUUUCAGUUUCUCAGUCUUAUAUGGUAUCCACCUGGGCCUCUCUUUUUAAGGUCA